rnacentral:rRNA from 1 species
CCUUCGGGUUGUAAAGCACUUUAGGCGGGGAAGAAGAUUACUAUUUUAAAGAGAUUAGGUAAUUUGACGGUAUCCGCAGAGUAAGCACCGGCUAACUCUGUGC